rnacentral:lncRNA from 1 species
CAAGUCACUAAUUCACUUCUCAAGUGACCACACUUUAGUAAAUUCAAAACACAAGUUCACAUUUCAAGUCACUACACUUGAUCACUUUCAAGUAACUGAUUUAUUUAUCUUAUAAGUCAAACAAUUGAAUAAGUUUAACAAAGCAAAUAAAUAGAGGCGUCGCAUGUCCCUCUCGCACCAUAUAAUCAUCACAAAAUUCCUAUGGCUUUCAAAGCCUUCUACAACGUACAAUCCCACCUUAAUACUACAUUUAAAGACUUCAUUAUACAAAAAUAGAGAGAAAUCAACUCACCUUUGUUUGGCCUAAAUUUACAAGAAAGAGACAAGCGAUCACCAAAAAAUAGCAAAGCAAUACUUUUUCCGAAUUCGGAUUCUGUCAAACAACAACAUCAACUUACUUGCUACUUCACAUCAAAGGGCAUAAAUUAGGAUAGGCCAUGUUUAAAUAGACAAGAAGCAAUUCAAAAUCCCCAACAACACAACCUAUAUAGUCAAAUCCUCUAUAAAAUUACUACUACUUCACAACCCAAUCAGUGCAUUAUCACUAUCUCUAUACAGUCAAAAGUCAAUAUAUCUUCAAAUAUCAAUAUAUCUUCAAAUCAUAUUUGGAGACAGUCAAUGCCUCACCACACUAAACCAAGAUUUGAUUUUUACAAUUGAGAAAUCAAGAAAUGGACUUGCUUUCUCAAGAAACUUCACAAAUAGGCCCAAAAUUUCGUGUUUUAAUUCUUUACUAGUGAAAACAAGAAUGAACUAACACCCCACAAGGCAAAAUUAGUUCUUUUCAGCAUAAGAGAUCAAAUAGACAGUGAUUUUCUUGAAAUCACCAGGAAAACUCAAGAAACCAGAUACCCAAAAAUUAAGCCAAAAAUAAUGUUACUGCAAAAAUCAGCUGAAAAAUACAUGUUGUCGUCCGUGAGACAUACUAUUGUGAGUUACUGUGGUCACUGAGACGAGGUUGUUACUGUCGUGGUUGAGACGAUGAUGUUGCUGUUAUGUCUGAGACAACGAUGUCGCUGUCGUCGGUGACUGAGGUCGCUGACUUGCUGCCGUCGGUGACUAAGGUCACUGUUGUCGGUGACUGAGGUCACCAUCGUCGUGGCUGAGACGAUGAUUUUGCUGUCGUGGUUGAGACGACGAUGUCGCUAUCAUCACUUACUAAGGUCGCAGACUUGCUGCUGUCGGUGACUGAGGUCGCUGUCGUCGAUGGGAGAUUGGGUUGGUGAGCUGAGGGUAGUUGUAAGGGUAUUCUGAUUAGGCUAAUUAGAAAGGAAUUUCGGAAUUGAGUCCGACUGGGUCAAUAAUUGGGUAUUACAAAAUUGUUGACAAAAUUAAU